rnacentral:rRNA from 1 species
UUUAAUUAAGAGUUUGAUCCUGGCUCAGGAUGAACGCUGGCGGCGUGCCUAACACAUGCAAGUCGAGCGAGAAGCUCAUGACGGACGCUUCGGUUGAAGUCACGAGUGGAAAGCGGCGGACGGGUGAGUAACGCGUAGGCAACCUGCCCUUUGCAGAGGGAUAGCC